GCACAAGCAGCGGAGCGUGUGGUUUAAUUCGAUGCUACACGAAGUAACCUUACCAGGGUUUGACAUGCAAGUGGUAGGAAGCCGAAAGGUGACCGACCCUUCGGGGAGCUUGCACAGGUGCUGCAUGGCUGUCGUCAGCUCGUGUCGUGAGAUGUUCGGUUAAGUCCGCUAACGAGCGCAACCCUCGCUGUGUGUUAUAUGUGUCACACGGGACUGCCGGUCUUAAGCCGGAGGAAGGUGGGGAUGAUGUCAAGUCAGCAUGGCCUUUAUAUCCUGGGCUACACACACGCUACAAUGGCCAACACAAUAGGUUGCUAAGCCGCGAGGUGGCGCCAAUCCAUAAAGUUGGUCUCAGUUCAGAUUGUAGGCUGCAACCCGCCUGCAUGAAGAUGGAGUUGCUAGUAACCGCAGGUCAGCUAUACUGCGGUGAAUACGUUCCCGGGGCUU
rnacentral:rRNA from 1 species